GCACAAAGAUCCCCGCAUGGUUCCAGCCGGACGCGUCACGCGGCCGAGGAUCAAAAGGGAAUGCGGUGCGGGCGGAUCCAAACAGGACGCCCAAUGCCGCAGCCGCCCCCGCGACUGUCAGCGGAGAGCGUCUCGCCAUCGCCACUGGGCAACCGGGAAGGCGGCGCGACGCAGUGACCCGCAAGCCAGGAGACCUGCCAUGCACCGGCUUUUGCCG
rnacentral:ncRNA from 20 species